UACGUAGGGUGCAAGCGUUGUCCGGAAUUAUUGGGCGUAAAGAGCUCGUAGGCGGUCUGUCGCGUCGGCUGUGAAACCCCGAGGCUCAACCUCGGGCCUGCAGUCGAUACGGGCAGACUAGAGUGUGGUAGGGGAGACUGGAAUUCCUGGUGUAGCGGUGAAAUGCGCAGAUAUCAGGAGGAACACCGGUGGCGAAGGCGGGUCUCUGGGCCAUAACUGACGCUGAGGAGCGAAAGCGUGGGGAGCGAACAGG
rnacentral:rRNA from 1 species